rnacentral:tRNA from 1 species
ACAUAAGUAGUUUAAAUAAAAUGUUGAUUUGUGAUGUCAAAGAUGCGUGGAUCGCCUUAAGUU